AGCAUGUGCGUCGAUAAGAUUAGAGGAAGACACGAUUAGAGGAAGUCAUGCACAGUAUAAGACACACACAUAGCUCUACAGUCCCUAAAAAAGGUUAAAGUGACAAGUCCCUUAGUCUUGUCACUUAUCUAUUUUGUAGAAACACCUGGUAUUAACCUGACUUUUAUUUAAUCAAUUGGUGUUAGAAAUAGCUCAUAUGAAAAGCUAAAACCCUCCCAAAUGAUGUUUAAUGCACUGAAAUAAAUUAGUUUCACUGAAAAAAGAUUUAGCAUUUAAUCAAGACAGAAAGGUCAAAUUUUGGCAAGACAAAGGUUUUGUCGCCUAUACGGAAAUUGAACAAAUUUACUGCAAAUACAAAAAUAUAUCAGCAAAUUAAGUAGUGGUGCUGUGAGAUCCAAAUUUAAUAUCUUGUAUGACUUCCAUGAGCUUGAUGGACUGCAUCCAUGCGGUUUGGCAAGGAUUCAUACAAUUUAUUGAUGAAGUCAUCAGGAAUAGCAAAGAAAGUAGUCUUGCAUGCCUCCCAGAGUUCAUCAAUAUUCUUUGGUUUCGUCUUCCAUGCUUCCUCUUUCAUCCUACCCGACAUAUGCUCAAUGAUGUUCAUGUCUGGUGACUGGGCUGUCCAAUCCUGGAGCAUCUUGAUCUUCUUCGCCUUGAGGAACUUUGAUGUGGAGAUGCUGCAGAAUUUGGCCUCUUUUAUGGUUGGGAAUAUAAGAGGUAGCUAGGAUUUCUUGGUAUUUUAGACUAUUGAUGUUGCCUUCCACCCUGCAGAUCUCUCGCACACCCCCUUCACUGUUUUCUGAGUGAAUCUCGGAUCCAUGCAGGCUCCAGUAGGUCUCCUGCAAUAUUUGUGGCUACUGUGGUGUAAUUCAAGAUUCAUCUGAAAAAUCCACCUUCUGCCACUUUUCCAGUGUCCAUCCUUUUAGCAGGCUGUGGGCCUUGGCAAAUGACACACGGUUUUUCAAUUGUCUUUUGUUUAGUGCUGGCUUCUGAUCACUGAUUCGACCAUGGAGGCCAUUUCAAGACAGACUCCGCCAAACUGUUCUGGUUGACACAGGGACUUCAGGUGACCAGGUCUCGUGGAGCUCUGCUGCAGUGGAAAAUGCACUGGUCUUGGAUUUUUGAGCCAACAAACGGUCAUCUCAAGGAGUCUGCCUGAACUGGGCUUGUCCAAAACAUCUCCAGUCUCUUCAAAUCUUUUUUUUAUCCUCUGUACUUGACGCUGAGACACACUGAAGGUGUCUGUCACAUCAGCAGUGGAUCUGGUCUUCAGCCUCUUGAUAAUCAAAACUUUAGUCUCAGGGUGAAUCUUAGGCAUGUUUGCAGAGGUCUAGUUGCAGUUGAUGUGAAGGUCUAGUGUACAGGGGUUCUUUUUAUACACACCUGAUACCUAAUUGAUCCAUUAUUAGUCACAGGUGAAGCUCAUAUGACAAGGCGACAACACUUAUGUCUUUGCAAAAAUGGACUCAAUGGGCUUUACCAAGCUGUGAAUAUUAGAAUACUUUUUGACAGUUACGUUUUGCACUGAAACAUUAGUACAAAAGCUGUUGGGAUUAAAAUGAGCCAUUUCUUGUAAAAAAAUAAAUAAAUAAAUCUUGAUUAGAAAUAUAUUUCAGCGGCACUUCAGGUCAAUUUGUACACAAUCGACAAGACUUUUGUCAGGGACUGUAUGUAUAAAUGGAGAACUGCUUACAAGCCAACUAACCUACUCUGUUCAAACUUAGGUCGGGACAGACUGACUUCAAACUUGCAAGUGUAUUGAAUAAAGAAGUUUGAUAUUCCACAGGACUCUGCUGCUUUUUUCCUUGCAACUUAGGAAAAGUUUACUUGAACUAUUAUCUCUGAUUAAUAGAAUGGAAUUUCCUCCACAUUUUCUGGGGGCUAGUCUGAGAUAUCCACAGGACCACCUGAGAGGCGACGGACGGCUGCAGAAGUCACAUCAAGUUGUUAUCAAUAUCCUGUCUGACCCAAAGGACAACAGGACUCAGUGUGGGACUGGGACGACGCUACUAUCCUAUAGGGAAAAAGAACCUUGCAGAGAGAAAGAACGAGCAGACUCUAGAGGGGUUUUCAAACAACGAUUGAAUGUUUUAAAUCUUUUGUAGACCCAGUCCUGGAUGUCUGGCCUCCCAGACCACCACCUUUGGAACCCCUGCAGACGAACAAUAACCAACCACCAGCUGUUAUACUGCUUCCUACUGCUACAUUCAACCAGUGGAAAGUUUACUUAACAGCAGGAUGUUACACACAGAUGUGCACAAAGGAAAGCAGCUCUCAGAGGUUGUCAAGGAACAGGAGAAAGGCAAGUUUGAGAGUAAGCAGAAACCUGGUGAAUGGAUUCUGGUCAAGGACUUCCGGAGGGAGAACUGGUCAUCCCCAAGGUGGAGAGGACCAUUCCAAGUCCUACUGCUCACACCGACAGUGUGUAAGGUUGAUGGACAAAUGUCUUGAAUCCAUCAAAGCCACACACGAAAGGUUCCGGCACCACCGACAGACACCUGUGAUGUACACUAGAUUACUGAGACACCCAAUAGUCUGCUGGGUUGGCAAUUGACUAGGGGUACGGGAAAAGAGGGUGCCGAGUGUCACAGAGGGAAAAUGAGAGUCAUCUUGAUCCUGUCAGCACUGCUGAUCAUUUGGAGCGACCCAGCAUCGUCUCAACAAAUUCUGUAAAUUCACCAACUGGAUGGCAACAUACAGUACCGAUGAGUUAUGAUACGUGUGUAAGGUGUUCCCAAUGUCUACAACAACAACCACCCUGACACCUCGAAAUGAUACUUUUGACAACACCCUUACGGCUAUGGCCCAGGACUGCAUCUCAGAAACAUGCAUAUCAGGCAAUGCAACAGAGAUGGUACCUGAACAGAACUGGCACCAUAUGGUGUGAGAACAAAACAGACAAGCCCACAUGUAAACGCACUAAGAACAGCAUUGAAGAUAGACACAAGUGUGGAACUAACUAGAAGACCCAUUUUCUGUUUGUCAUCACUGUUUUAGCUAAUGGUAAUGGUAAUUGUAACAAACAAGUGUGGAGUCAUUCUGGAAUCAUUCUGGAGUAACAAAAUAGUAUAAACAGUAUAAUCAUACAGAGUAGCACAAAUCCUAAUAGCUGAUUAUAAUGUAUGCAUGCACAACCCCUAUUUGUAGUUUUGUAAAUCUAUAUAUAAAACUAUAUAUUCUUUAGUCCUUACUUCCUCUGUGAUCGAAUUUAUUAAGAAGUACUGAUAAAGCAACAGAAAAAAUUGUACAGAAGCCUAGAAGCAUCAUUAUAAAACUUUAGUCAAGUCAAGUCAAGUCACCUUUAUUGUCACAUCUCCACAGCACAUGUGCCAUGGUGAGUGAAAUUCUUGGGAGCGAGCUCCAGAAAUUG